CGCCUCCCGCCCCGCCCCGCCCCGCCCGGCGCCGCCGCCUCCCGCCCCGCUCCGCCCCGCCCGGCGCCGCCGUACACCGCCGCCGCGCCUACCCCUGCCUCCUGCUCCUGCUACCAUGGCACCGCCAGGACUCCUCCCCACUGCUUCCACCUCGACAAUGGUUUCCCCAACACCGCCGGCUUCGCCACCAGCCACUCCUUCAUCCACAAUAAUCAUAGGAGACAGCUACACGGGCGAGCCUACGAGCAAGACCUCGACGGCGCUGGCGGUGGAAGACCGCGGAUGUGAGGGCGCUUGGAAGGCCGCGGUGCCGCGAUUAAGUCAUGAGGACCGCGGCGGCAGCAGUCAAAAUCUUCAUGAAGUCUCUCCGCUUACCCUCCCUCGGUCUGAUUUCUCUCCAAUCUUUGAAUCCCCUCAGUUUGAACUAAUGCCAUGUAUUUUCAGAACAGUUAGUGAAUCAUUUGUCAGUUGAAAGAUGGUUGAUGCACCAAAAAAGAUUGUAUUGAUUCAAUCUGGAAAAGUCAAGAUCACAAUAGCUUUCAGAACAAUUAGUGAAUCAUUUGUCAGUUGAAAGAUGGUUGAUGCACCAAAAAAGAUUGUAUUGAUUCAAUCUGGAAAAGUCAAGAUCACAAUAGCAAUUACAUAUGCAUUUGUUGGGCCAAAAGUAGCAGUUACAUAUGCAUUUAGUUAAUCUUUUGGCCUAUCACCGUUUCAUGCAUUUUUGGUGGACUUUCAUUUGACCUUGAGUGUUGACUUGCUUUUCUGUUGCUAACAAUGUCCGGCUUGCCGAAUGUACUUGCUUAUCCUUGUACUGGAGUACCAUUGAUUCACCAUAUACACACUUUCCAAUUCUGUCUGUUUACUAUCUAGGAGUCAGACCAUGGCUGCACGGAGCAGGUCCACCCACUAGGGGCUGGCCGCUGUGUCCGCCAUGAGGAUUCCUGCACUAAGCCUUGCCGGCGUUCCCGGCCACCAAGGUACUUCUACUUAUGUGUCUCUAUAAGAUUCCUGCAUAUGUUUUUGUGCUUUCCACUUAAUGCAUUGUUAGCUCUAUGUUACACUUCUUUUAGGUACUUCCUGCUCCAGGAUUUUCUUUGUGCGAAAAUCAAUAUACAUAGGCAUAUUUGCCCAUGAAGCUGCUCUGGUUUUUCUUUUAGAGUUUACUCCCAUUUACUUGUGUCGUUAUACAAUAAUAACAGAAUUGAUAUCGAUUAAACUUCUUUGAGUUUCUUGAAAUUUAAUGAUUUCCCAUGGAAUAUGAAGUUUGAGAAUGACACCUGCUGAGCUGAAAAUAAUCUAGCGAGCAAUAGUAUAAUGAAUAGUUAUUACCGUAUCGGCAUCACAUUGCUCAUGGGUGAAUAACACAACAAUAAACUAGAAAAAUGGAAAUGCUCUGUUUGGUUUGGGUACCAUGCAGGAAAGUAGUUAACAGAGAUAGACUAUUUGACAGUUGCAGAGUGACACCACCACCACAUAUGAAGCAGAGAGUUUGUAAAGAGACACUAAAUAAUCAUCUGGAGUGAGACACUAAUUGCUUUCUUGUGUAGUGAAGACGAUCUUUUUUGGGGUGUAAUAUAACUAUGGCAGCUCUCUGGAGUGAGAAUGUCGAGGCCCUAAAAAACAGCCAUCGACACGGAGUUCCUGCCAUUAAGGAUAGAAAAGCUAGCAGAGAAACAGCUUGGGGAAUCACAAGCUUAUCUUGCCUUUUGAAUGUGCAGCCUGUAACCAGAGAAGCUUGUUCUAAUUAUUGUAUGCUUAUUUUCCCCGAGCUGUUUCUCUGCUAACUAUUAUUCUCAAGCAACUACCAAACUAUGGAUAGAAGAAGUCUUAACAUGGAGCUAUUCUUUACCUAAUAAUAAAGAGAAUUGGGUUUCUGCCGUCCGUCGUUCGCUUUUGCAAAAAGACCCUUCUCUUUUUCGGAAAUUGAACCCGCACUCCCUACCGCACUCCCUACGUAAGUGGCUCUGGGGAAAACGAUUCGGUAAAAAAAAUCCCUUUCGCGUAUCCUCUGUUUCUUGGUAUUCAGACCGGCAGUUGGAGGCGGCCACGGCGAACGGGGUGGACGAGGUGGCGGAGCAGGGGCCCCGGCGAGUGGGGAGCUGGAGGCACAGCGCAUCCCGGCACUGCACAGGGACUACGAGCCGGCGGCGCACCUGUCACCAACCAGCGCAGACCCCGAGGCCGUGCGGACGAGGAAGGAGAGAAUCAGGAUGAGGAGGAUGUCGCUGCGGCAGCGAAGGUAGCCAGCAGCCUGAUGAAGCAUCUACGGCCCAGCUUCUCCGGCGCGCCAUCCGGAGAUGGGACGGACGGAUCGAGGCGAAGGAUGAUGGAGAGGUGGUCGGAGGCGGCGAGCUCCAAGGCAGGCGGGCUGAUGCGGUUCCAGAUGGACGACGGCUUCGCGGGCGGCUGGCUGCCGUGGCCCAAGCGGCGGACGAACGGGCGCUCCUCUCGUCGUCCUCCUCCCGACGGCAGGCCAGUCAGGCGGCAGGAGCUUCUCCGUUCUGCUUGGCGACCUCAAGGUCCCGCUCUUCGGGGCGCUGCUCCAGCGGGGGCCGGCGUGGUUUGAGGACGUGCUGCGGGCGCCGACGGCUACCGCGCCCCGGAGGUGGUGGACGCGCGGCGACACUCUCUGGGCGUGCUCUUGCUGGAGCUCCUCAACGGCAAGUCCCUGACGCACGCGUCGCUGCAGGAUGGUGACGGCGGCACGCUGGACCUGCCGCGGUUGGUGCAGUCGGUGGUGCGCGAGGAGUGCACGGCCGAGGUGAUUGGCGUGGAGCUGGUGCGGCUAGGCGCCGCGCCGAGGAGAAGAUGGACUCGCUACCGCAGGCACCGGCGAAGCUACGACAGCGAGCUUCAGUUAUCUGAAUUUUCGGUUCAGUGUCCACAACAGCGAGCUUCAAUUAUCUGAAUUUUCAGUGCAGUGUCGUGAUUUGGAUGGACGCCCGAACACAACAGCGAGGCCAGCUUCAGUUCUCUGAAUCUUCAGUGAAGUGUCGUGAUUUGGAUGGAAUUGGAGACCGUGUCCUUCUCCAACAUAAGUCAAUUUCCAAUGUAAUCGAGUUCGAGUCUCUGUUCUUCUCGAAGGCAAAAGCAUGUAGUGCCCGACCCGGAUUGGACUUGGCUGUCAUAAGGAGGGUUCCUCGACCGGAACGUCCAUCAGGCCGCGUCCCUCGACCAGAAUCUCCAUCAAAUCCCAUCACAUUGCAACUUUCAGAGGAACAUCCAAUGUCGCUGGCAGAGGAAAAUCAUCCGUCCAGCGGUACUAUGCUGAGUUCGCCGACGGAAGAACACCCGUCGAGCCCUCCAUCGCCUGAGGCGGCUACAACAGAGUGAUGGGAGGUAGAUUGAGCUGAUAAAUUUCUGCACCCACCUUGAGGUCCAUAACGUUCUCCUAAUUAUAUGCAGCCCAAUUCGUAUAGAUGUAUUUGUUUGAGGGAGAGGACUAUCUGUGAUCAGAAGCAACAGUAUGUGAUCAUCAUGUGUGCGAGAGAUGGCAGGAGUAUGUGAUAUGUAUUUCUGUGUACAGUACUAAUAUUUAUUGACUGUUCAUGUUGGUACAGUAGGUUCAUGAUUGCUUGUGGAAACAAUAAAAUUACUUGAGGAGGAUUUUAUGAGUAUGUACUUUGAGACUUGAGAGGCUGUUAUUGACAUGGAUUCUCUGUCUACUAGAGAGGCUGAUGUCAAAUCAACAUUGGAACAAGGGAAAUAGAAGUGGAAUGAGAUGAAGUCCUAUUGAUACCUGUAAUUCAUUGAUUAACUCAAACAAAUGAUACUAGACAUCAACUACUGCAAUUGAUCCAUGAAUAUUUGUUAGGUUGUAGUAUCUAUCUAACAUCUAGAAGGGAAAAAUGCGAUGAACAUUUUUCUCUCAAGGUUAUGUAUAUGAGUAUAUCUUUAAAAUGUGGUACAGAGAGCAGAAGGUCUUAAAUGCUUGCAAAUCCUCAGUUUUAAGAGAAUAAGAUACAGUCUUAAUUUAUUUCCAGAUUUAUUUUUGUAUUAUUGGAAUUCUGAACAGGAGAAGGUUGUUAGCUCGUCGUGUGGUCGAUUUGGUUUCUGGAAAUUCUUUCGCAUACUAUGUUUGAGCGCUUUUGUUCUUGAGUUCUUCUGGUGGAGAGAAUCAGAAGUGAUUCUUCUGCAAUGUGAGGAGAUCUCCAAAUCAAGCCAGCCUCCAAGAGAAGAGAACAAGUAGUACAUUUGCGCGCACUUGCGUGCACAUGCUGAUUUCUAAAUAUCGCACAGUACUAUAGUUGUGAUCCCCUAAAUAGCUUAUAUUUGAGCACAGUCUUGCGGAAUAGUUACAGUGAACAAAAAGCUUGCAUUUGAUAGAUUUGAUUUGUUAGCUUUUUGAAUGGCGCUGCCCCUAUUAGGCUAAGUAGAAGCACUAUACCGGGACUAAAGUACAUCAGGUUACCUUUCAUGAGGUCUGUGGAAUUUUUGUAAUUUACGGUAUUGGUAUUUUUGGAAUUAUUUUGGGUACAAGGAAAGAAGUGACAGAGAACUGCAAUUUUUUUGUGGUAAAAUUUACUGAAAAUGGUGUUUCUUUUCAAGAUUAUAUUACUGUUUGCCCGUUUGAUCCUUGGAUGAUCUACUAAUUUUCUUUUCUAUUCCUUGCCGAUAAUUUGCUUCAGCUCAUCAAAUUACCUGGGGAAACAUGCUCAUUGUUUAUCUAAAGAUAUAUUGGGCAUCAGUCCACCUGUCAUGAGGUCUCUAAAUUUUUUAGGCAUGUUUAUUUUCUGAAUAAUUUAUUGGAGAUACUAUGCUUGGACUCACAAAUGCAUGUAGUGCUUCCACUAGAGGGAUGUUCUUCAUAUUUUCUGUGUUAUCCCUCUUUCAAGUUUUUGGUCCUUGAAAAGUAAUAGUACUUGCUAGGUUUCUAGCUUUACUUUUUUUUGUAGUACAAGCUAAAUGUAUAUGCCUGAAUUUACAUAUCAGAGUGUUUGAGUUGAUUAAGGGUAUGCGAGAGAACAAUUUUGAUCCUCAAACAACACCCGACAUCAUUAAUUUUUUUAUUUACCAAUUGAAACACGAGGCAAUAAUAGCACAACUUAAGUGUGUGAACAUAUCAAUAUAAAAUGAUUGGCCGGAUUAUGUUUUUAUGCAUUCUAGAAGUGGCAUUUCCAUGAAAUUACAAACUAGCUUUACAUUUUUCUAGGAACACUUUGUGAAAUUUUAUUGGAGAAUAUUUUUCUCCUUUUCCAUCGUUCGUUGCCCAUUCGUCCCGUUCUGCUCUUGUUUGUCAUGAGUAAUGUGAUGUGUUGAAAUAGAGGACAUAAACUUGUGGAGGCUUUUAGCCAUGGGGCUAUUGGGCUAGAGGCAUGCGAUAUAUUUUUCUCCCGUUGCAACGCACGGGCCCUUUUACUAGUUCAAAACAAGAUGAGGAGAGACUCAAGAAUUUAAACAGUAAAAUACGAACCUGCACAUGAUCAUAUAAUGUGCGGAUCACAGGCUGGCCAAAGCCUUCUUUCGAGUCUCCUAACAUUGCCUGCUUAAUUUUCACUACCUGCAAGUACAACUAGCUAGAAAUUUCAGUAUGCUGCUAUGUGCCUUGAGUUUGUAAGUCAAGAUCUCUUUGCUUCCAGGAGAGUUUGACCACUCAUAUCUCUCUUUUUCUUGCCACCUGCACUUGUAGUUUUUUUUCCUAUGAUAUAUAUUGUAUCAUUUUGGUUGCUGAAUAUGAUAGUCGUAGCCCGUCAAAAUAUUAUGAUAGCCGAUUGAUUCUUCUUAAAAGGUAUAUUGACUGUUGCAAAGUUUACCUGGUCUUCUAUUUAUAUUUUCCAGAAUACAGUCCUAGAGAUGUUGCUUUAUUUGAGUUCUGCUUAUUGCAUUUAUUGGAGCACUUGCAAUGGGCACAUUGAAUGUUUAAAUGUUCCUCUUGCUGCUGACCACACUACAGUUCAUUAUAUCUCAUUGAGACCUUAAUCAUCUUCCAUGUUUGUUAGAAGGUAGCAUAGUACUGGUUGAACCCGAUAGUUACCUGAAACCAUUGCUUAACACCGAGCCCCUCUACUUUCUAAAAGGUUUCCAUUUUGGUUUACUGAAUAUUUUUUUCCUGCUUGAACUAUAUCAGUUGGGCAAGUGCUAGAACCCAGGAGCAUAUGAUUUUGCUGCUCAUGACAUACGCGUCAAUAUUGCAAUCAACUCUGACUGCAAUUGUAUAGACAAGGGCCUGCAUUCUAUAUGGAAGGUUCGACAUUGAAGCUGCUCGCAUUGAUCCGCAAUAGAUCUUGACUUCAGCGGAAAAUGAGGUUUCAUCGAGGCAGUGACUUAUUCUACAUGAUGGGAAUUCAACGGCAUUUUAUAGUUUUGUUCUUAAAUACUAGCUGGGUGUGCCGUCUAUUCACAGAUGAAGUAAUCUGAACAUCUCUUGCAGAUAAAACGCUCGGGAAAAGUUCCCAGCCGUGCACCUGUGACCGCUGAAGAGGCAUACUGUUUUAGGAAUGCAUGACAGACUGGUCGCGAGAUUUGUGUCUAGGAUGGAAUUACAUGAUAUGUCAAAAUGGUGGUCUUUAUUAUGCAAUUUAACUGAUCUCUUGUUGCACCUCUCCUUUCCAGAAAAACAAUUAUUUAAUCUUUCAA